rnacentral:rRNA from 1 species
GAUGAACGCUGGCGGCGUGCCUAAUACAUGCAAGUCGAGCGAACAGACGAGGAGCUUGCUCCUCUGACGUUAGCGGCGGACGGGUGCGUAACACGUGGAUAACCUACCUAUAAGACUGGGAUAACUUCGGGAAACCGGAGCUAAUACCGGAUAACAUGUUGAACCGCAUGGUUUAACAGUGAAAGACGGUCUUGCUGUCACUUAUAGAUGGAUCCGCGCCGCAUUAGCUAGUUGGUAAGGUAACGGCUUACCAAGGCAACGAUGCGUAGCCGACCUGAGAGGGUGAUCGGCCACACUGGAACUGAGACACGGUCCAGACUCCUACGGGAGGCAGCAGUAGGGAAUCUUCCGCAAUGGGCGAAAGCCUGACGGAGCAACGCCGCGUGAGUGAAGAAGGUCUUCGGAUCGUAAAACUCUGUUAUUAGGGAAGAACAAAUGUGUAAGUAACUAUGCACGUCUUGACGGUACCUAAUCAGAAAGCCACGGCUAACUACGUG